UACGGGGGGGUGCGAGCGUUGUCCGGAUUCACUGGGCGUAAAGGGCGCGUAGGCGGCUCGGUCAGUCCGGCCUUUAAGAGCGGGGCUCACCCCCGUGGGGGGUCGGGGACGGCCGAGCUGGGGCGCGGCAGAGGGGGACGGAAUGCCGGGUGUAGUGGUGAAAUGCGUAGAGAUCCGGCGGAACACCGGUGGUGAAGACGGUCCCCUGGGCCGAGGCCGACGCUGAGGCGCGAGAGCGCGGGGAGCGAACCGG
rnacentral:rRNA from 1 species